AUGAAGAAUUCCACUUAUAGCAUGUGUAGUGGUUGUGUACUCUCUCUUGCAUUGUGUAGAUAAUCAAACUGGGAGCAUCCUCCCUACUGGCAUCAAAUCCGCCGUUUAUUUGUAGGAGCUGGUAAAACACACUGAUAUUACUCUGACAGUCGUGCACGUGGUAACCUCCAGAUAAUGCUAAAAACACAAAACAAUUUAUUCAGCACGGAGGUUAAACUUAAUCAGCAUUUUGGUAGUGGAGCUUAAACUGGUCCUCUUGCCAUGGCAACCGGACACAGCAGACUGAGACCGCAAUGUGGGGAACACACCCCAAGUCUGCAGGGGCCCGGACGUUGUGCGUCCACGCCAUAUCCGGCGGUCACCGUGGGAACCAAAUAUGUAAUAUGAGAUGGCAAGUGGAAUCAUUAACUCCGCCUCCACUACACAUGUAGAACAUCAUGAAGUGUUCAGGUGAACAGUUAACGGUGAACUGAGACACAUUGUGAGUAAGAGAGGAUGGGCUCUUAAUAAUAUGGUGUCUAGGGCUGCACGAUGUUGGAAAUAUGUGCGAUCUGUGUGUCAAGAUCUGCGAUAUCAAUAUAUAUUGCGAUAUUGGAUAUUAGUGCCGUUGUCCGAUGUGACAGCCACUUGUUUCUCUUCUUGCAAUCCCCAGUUCGUCAACACAUCCCACAGGGCAGCCGCUAUAUUUUCACCGGUGUGGGAGUCCAGAAAGUAGGAGACUUCUAAGCAGCGUGUUUUCAGUUCAAAGUCAUUUGUGAGAAAGUGAACAGUAAAACUGAUGUAGGGCUCAGUAGCACAACUGGACCAUAAAUCUGUGGUGCUUGCAAAGAAAUCCACAUUAUUAAGCUCCGCUUUUAGAGACCCCAAGCAUGCCUCGUACAUCUGUGGAAUGGCGACUUGGUAAAUAGCUCUGUGAUGGCAUUGGUUAUCUGUGGUCGAAUUCUUUCAGCAUAUCCAAAAAAUCUUCUUUGCACACGACAUUAACAGAGAGUGUGUAUUUCACAAUAUAACGUGUAAUGGCCGCAGUUAAACCUUGGUGGCGCUUGGAAGUUUUUUCAUAAGGUGUAACAGAAAAAAAACUUUGACCAGUUGUUGUCUGUGUGCUUGCCUUUCGUUUGUCUGCCUUCAUGGGAGUAGCUCGUGGUGUUUUAGAUCGUAAGAAAAAGGCAUACAGUUCCUUGUCAGGGUAUCCACGGGGUAGUAAAAGGUAGUAAAUGAAAUGAGCUCAAAUUAAGGCCAGUAAAAGGUAACAAAUGCAGUUUCACUUGGUAGUAAUUUUUUCAUCACCUUUUUAAUAUAUGACGUUUCCAUUGAUGCUGGUUCGUUCAUUUAAUUAAUAUGUGUAUGUAUAUAUAUAUAUGAAAAAAGAAACAUACAUGCGAGCAGUGGUCGCUCUGGUCUGAUCUGCGCAUGCGCGCUGUGUUACUUUAGCACUAGCAAACCACUCUCUCGACAUAAAUGCAUCAAGAUGGGAAAAUGAAAGUUUUCACAGAUGUGGCUCGAUGACCCGGCAUUAAGAGAUUGGUUGAAGCCAGUCAUGGGAAAUGACUGAGAAGCUUUUUGUAUCUUUUGUAAAAAGACGAUUAAUGUUACGUGGAACGGUGUGAAAUCUCUUAAAUCACACCAACAAUCAACUUUUCACCAGCAGCAGAUUCGCACGCGAUGGGAGCAAUUUCCCAUUUCAUUUUUUGGUGCGACACAAAGCUCAACUCUGAGUACAGGCUCCGCUACAUGUACAAGUGCUGCUGUCACUCUGCGGGGGCCAACCACCAGCACCGCGACAGCUUCAGCAGACAGGCAGCAGGUCCUGCUGUCAACAACUUCAGCCAUCAGAGCGGAGGUUCUCUGGUGACUGAACAUCGCAGCCAGGCAUCAUUCGUUCUCCUCAAACGAAGGUAUUGGGGAGCUUUUAGAGAAUAUGUUCCCAGACUCAGAAAUAGCCAAAAGCUUCGCAUGUGGCAAGGACAAAACAGUGUACAUGAUUCGAUAUUGCGCCUCAUUUUAAAAUGUUACUAGUCAAAAGCGUAAAUGAUGCGGGACCAUUCGUACUGAUGUUUGAUGAGUCUCUAAACGAGUCGGCCAAGAAAAAGCAGCUGGAUAUCCAUGUCCGAAUGUGGAAAGAUGACCGUGUGACGUUGUCAUACUUUGGAUCACAGUUCCUGGGACGUGCAAGGGCCGAAGAUCUGCUACAACACGUCAAAGUAAGUUGACUUAUUUUUCUUUGUUAGGCCUAUUUGAACAUGUUAAUCAUAUAGUUAACCAACAGGCCACAAUCCACAAGCUUGUGUGUGGAUGCUAUGGACUAUGAUACUGAGACAGUGGCCUUUGCCCUGUGUGUGUGUGUGUGUGUGUGUGUGUGUGUGUGUGUGUGUGUGUGUGUGUGUGUGUGUGUGUGCGUGUGCGCGUGCGCGUGUGCGUGCGCGUGUGUGCGCGCGCGUGUGUGUGUGCGUGUGUGUGUGUGCGCAUAUGAGUGAGUGAAGGCGUCUGUGUUUACAUUUGCAGAUGAAGGAUUUAGCUAGUAUUUCUGAAUAAUGAAUACCACAGAAUUGAUUGACAUACAGUAUAUACUGAGGCAUGGCUCCAGUCCGGCCGAGAUCUAUGACCGCUGCCAUCUUAGCUCACGUCCGUCUUUACUGUUUGUUUUCUUUCAUACAACAACUCAGUGGGGCAUCUUACUUGUCCUGCGAUCCCACUGGACCUCCGGCUUACUUUAUCCUUGUCGCCAAUUAUGUAGUAACUCAAUGUGGAGCUUCUUAAUGAACAGAUGACCUUUAUUUUGCUUCAGCCAUUCAUUGGAAUACAGCUCAGUACAGCCCGUUCUUAGCAACACACGAUACUCACAGUUCUUGCUCUGCAACUUCCUACUGACUACCAGCGAUGCCCGAGGUAACAUUGCCACCUAGUGGACACUCCUGCAACACCAAUAUUUCACAGUUACAACAGUGAAGAAUUCCACUUUCAGCAUGUGUAGUGGUUGUGUACUCUCUCUUGCAUUGUGUAGGUAAUCAAACUGAGAUCUAUGAAUAACCAAACACUCAGGACACAUAAUUUGAAUACAUUUUAUUCUUUCCAUUCACAGGAAUGCGUUGCACAACUCAAUAUGAUACACUUGCUCUCCAUCAGUAUGGAUGGCCCGAACGUCAACCUCAAGAUGCUGGAGCUCUUUCAGAGGGAGUAUGCGGAGCCUCAUGGGGAUGCGCAACUCAUCCGUGUUGGCAGUUGUGGUUUGCAUACCCUCCUCAAUGCCAUGAAGUCAGGAUUUGCAACAUGGGAGGUGGACAAGCUCUUACGAGCCAUGCACUAUAUGUUCCACAAUGUUCCUGCACGUAGAGAAGAUUACACCGCCACCACAGGAUCCUCUACUUUUCCCCGAUCUUUCUGCGGCCACAGAUGGGUGGAAAAUGUCCCUGUGGCUGAGAGAGCUGUUGACAUUUGGCCCAUGCUCUUAACAUACAUUGGUGCUGUAGAGAAGAAGAAGGUGCCAAGACCCAACACUGCUUCAUACGACACAGUUUCUGCAGCAUGUGGCGAUGAUUUUACAGUACCAAAACUCCAGUUCUUCUUGUCAGUUGCAAGAAGCUUCAGCCCAUUCCUGACCAAAUAUCAGACUGACCAGCCUGUGCUGCCGUUUUUGGCUAAAGAUCUGACUGAGUUCCUGAUGGUUUAAUGCAGCAAUUUGUCAAAAGGGAGCUUCUCGAGGACAGAAACCCGCAGCAGCUGAUCAAAAUCCAGGUGGCCCAGGAGAACAACUGGGUCUCUCUUAAAAAUGUUGACAUUGGCCUGGGUGCUGAAUCUGCAAUAAAGGCCUUACAGAGCAAACCAGGAUGCAAGAUAGGGGAGCUUUCAGUGCUAAACUUCCGGAAAGAGUGUUUGCAGAACCUUGUGAAGGUGGUGGGAAAACUGCAGGACAAGUGCCCCUUAAAUUCCCUAUGGCUAGACUCAUCGCAUGCCUCGAUCCCAGAAGAAUCCACCGAGAACCAGAGUGGUGCAUCAAGCAAAUGAAGACUGUAGUGCAGACAUUCCUGCAGGGCAAGCAAUUGACAGGUGGCAUUCCAGCUGGUGAUGUCAUCAUUCAGCAGUUUGCAUCCUUGGCCUCUGUGGAAGGAAGAGAUGAGCGUUUCCUGUCCUGUAAACCAGUGCAGGGCUGCCUUGAUGUGUUUCUUUACACAGUUCUCAGCACUCCUUACCCCGACUUACUACGUUUCUGCAAGAUAAUCCUCCUUCUGUCCCACGGACAAGCCACUGUUGAAAGAGGCUUUUCAGUCAACAAGGAGGUGGAGACAUGUAACCUCCGGGAUGACUCUCUGGAAUCGCUACACUUAGUCUGUGACCGAAUCAGCAGUUGUGGAGGUGUUUUGAAAGUGCCUCUUACAAAGGAGCUCCUUGCCUCUGCCUCGUCUGCAAGAUCUAAAUACAGACUGUACCUGGAGAGUGAAAGACAAAAAAAAAGGAGAGUGCUGCACAUGCUCUGAAGGGGAAAGCAGCAGAGGAUGAGCUGUUGGACCUCAGAACCCAGCGUGAGGUGCUAAGCAGUGUCUGUGAGUCACUUGAAAGUGACGCAAACAAGUUGGCUGAGCAGGCUGAGGGAAAGGCCGGGUCCAAAAUGGCUGAACUUAUUACCAAGUCCAACACGCUUCGUAGAAGACAAAAAGGAAAAAACAGAGCUCUGUCACUCGGAGGAAAAGAUUGAAGAGAAAGCAUCACAACUGAGACUCUUCUAACUGCCUCGGUGCACUGUGGCUGUGCUCGCCCCCUCAACCUGGCAGUAAUGUUAAAUUGUGUCAGUUACAACUGUUAAGACUCCUCUCUUAAAAGGGAAAUGUAAUGUAAUUUAUAUUUUGGAGCAUGUUCACUCUGCCAUUUGAUGUUGGUGCUGUUGAUGUUCUUUAAUGUUACUUUACUUUGAUGUUGGUUUUAGAUGCUAAAUGUUUUCCCAGCUGUCUCUUUUCAAAAUUGGUUGAAUCCAUUUCUGAAAUAUGCAUUUUUUGGAUAAACUAAAAAAAUUGCAAUAAAAAUUGCCUCAUAAAA